UACGUAGGGACCGAGCGUUGUCCGGAUUCAUUGGGCGUAAAGAGCUCGUAGGCGGCUGCUCAAGUCGAAUGUGAAAACUCGAGGCUCAACCUCGAGCCUGCAUUCGAUACUGGGCGGCUAGAGUCUGGUAGGGGGAUCUGGAAUUCCUGGUGUAGCGGUGGAAUGCGCAGAUAUCAGGAGGAACACCGGUGGCGAAGGCGACUACCUGGCCCAUUCUUGACGCUGAGGCGCGAAAGCUAGGGGAGCGAACGGG
rnacentral:rRNA from 1 species